GUGUCAGCCGCCGCGGUAAGACAGAGGGUGCAAACGUUGUUCGGAAUUACUGGGCGUAAAGCGCGUGUAGGCGGCUAAGUGUGUCGGGCGUGAAAUCCCAUGGCUCAACCAUGGAAGUGCACCCGAAACUGCUUAGCUAGAGUCCUGGAGAGGAAGGUGGAAUGCUUGGUGUAGAGGUGAAAUUCGUAGAUAUCAAGCGGAACACCGGUGGCGAAGGCGGCCUUCUGGACAGUGACUGACGCUGAGACGCGAAAGCGUGGGGAGCAAACAGGAUUAGAAACCCCGGUAGUCC
rnacentral:rRNA from 1 species